AGAGUUUGAUCAUGGCUCAGGAUGAACGCUAGCUACAGGCUUAACACAUGCAAGUCGAGGGGAAACGAUAUUGGAAGCUUGCUUCCGAUAGGCGUCGACCGGCGCACGGGUGAGUAACGCGUAUCCAACCUGCCCACCACUUGGGGAUAACCUUGCGAAAGUAAGACUAAUACCCAAUGACGUCUCUAGAAGACAUCUGAAAGAGAUUAAAGAUUUAUCGGUGAUGGAUGGGGAUGCGUCUGAUUAGCUUGUUGGCGGGGUAACGCCCACCAAGGCUACGAUCAGUAGGGGUUCUGAGAGGAAGGUCCCCCACAUUGGAACUGAGACACGGUACCCAAACUCCGUACGGGAGCA
rnacentral:rRNA from 1 species